UUUAAUGACACAUUCUCGACAGCUUUCACGACACAGAGGCGGUCAUCUCUGGGAGUCGUGAGGGGGGCUGUGGUCACGAAAUGGACCGACCGUUAAAGGCCAUGGGAUGUAGAGACAAUGUAUGCUUUUAUCAGACAAACGCAGGCGGUCAUUUAGACACCCGGAGUCGGGGAGGGGUGUGGAUGGUCAGCGGGGAGGGGCGGUAAAAUUGAUCUCAUAGCGAAAGUUCAUAAAAGUUUUAAAUUUUAAGCGGGUACAAUUAACAGUGACAAUAAACGGACGGAUAUAGGAGCUAUAGUUUUUCUUUUGUUUUAAAUGCUGUUUUGUAUAUACAUUUUAGGUUUAUAUUAAUGUUAAGUUUUCUAAUUUAUAAUCCCUGCAUGUGUUUUACGCAAAAAGUAAAUGUUCUUAACUCUGCAUUGAGAAAAAAUAAAAUCCUCAAAACGUCAAGGAAAGUUUGUGAACACGCCGCUAUAAAGAAAAUACACAUUUUCUCACAGCGAUAUUUCCCAGAUGCACCGAAAACAACGACGACACAGACCGUCGAUUCGAUAGCGGUCAAACGACCAGCUACAGCGAUACACACCAACACCGAACCCGAACCGGCAAAAAAUAAAGUACCAUUUCGACGGCCAGCGAUCUCAGAGACGUCAAGCGAAACAGCGAACUCAAAACGUCACAAAUCAACAACCAAAGAAGCUGUAUCGACGAGCGGGGGAAAAAAUGUGGAAGAAACGCCAGGACCUAAGGUGCUGACCAAAUCCAAACGUGUCAAGCCUUUCGAGAGAAAUAAUAACGCAAUUAGAGACUUGGCGUUUGGUGAUGCGCUAGAUUCAGUGCAGUAUAUUGCACGGUUACUAUCAACAGUGAGCACUAAUGAGGUGGAUAAAAAGCGAGAUUUAGAGCAUCUAAGAGCGGCUUUAGAAAGUGUACAUUAUUUGUUUCCAAAACCGAUCCAGGCUUUCGCAGCUAACCUCUUAAGACAUAAUUUCUACAGAGGAUGCUGCUCUAAACUCAGGAUUUCAAAACCUGAUAAUGCUAUUUCAUGGUUCAUUGGAAGAUCCCCAGUGAUACAUGACUCUAAGCAUGCGGUCUAAAAACUGGAAUAAAAGACCGACCUCUUACUAACAUCAAGCGUUUGUAUGUUAAUAAAAUAAUUAAA